UGGGAGACAAAACAGAAACUGUGAAGCAUGAAGUUUGACCAAGUAAAAGAGGUCUUAAAACAAAAACUGGCAAAACAAAUCUAUACAGCAAUGAGCUCAGGGAAAUACAUCAACAAUGCACAAGCUAUGUGACCUUACAUAGGAUUGGAGACCAAGGAAAUGCAAGUGAUAUUUGGAAGGAAGUAGCAGCAAAGAAAGAUACAUUCAGGAAAUUAAAAUGGUUCACGCAAAGAAAACUGAAGCCAACUGGACAGAUGAGCAGAGACAAAGGAAGACUACAGCUGGGAAGGUGGCCGUUCCUUAACUAGGAAAA